rnacentral:rRNA from 1 species
AACGAACGCUGGCGGCAGGCUUAACACAUGCAAGUCGAGCGCCCCGCAAGGGGAGCGGCAGACGGGUGAGUAACGCGUGGGAAUCUACCCAUCUCUACGGAAUAACGCAUGGAAACGUGUGCUAAUACCGUAUACGUCCUUCGGGAGAAAGAUUUAUCGGAGAUGGAUGAGCCCGCGUUGGAUUAGCUAGUUGGUGGGGUAAAGGCCUACCAAGGCGACGAUCCAUAGCUGGUCUGAGAGGAUGAUCAGCCACACUGGGACUGAGACACGGCCCAGACUCCUACGGGAGGCAGCAGUGGGGAAUAUUGGACAAUGGGCGCAAGCCUGAUCCAGCCAUGCCGCGUGAGUGAUGAAGGCCCUAGGGUUGUAAAGCUCUUUCACCGGUGAAGAUAAUGACGGUAACCGGAGAAUAAGCCCCGGCUUACUUCGUGCCAGCCGCCGCGGUAACAC